GGGUGUGUGCUGAGCAGAGUAACACAGUGGCUUAAAGCAUAGGUAUGGAGGAAGAUAGACUGGGAAAUCCCAAGGCCUCUACUUGGAUUUUGAGUAAGGUGCUGAACUACCAGGAGCCUCAGAGUCCUUGCAAGAUGAUAGAAACAAUAGUGUCUAUGCUUGUAGAUUGGCUAUGAGGAUAGAUGGAUAAAAGCAUAAGCCUCAGCACAGUAACUACAGCCUGACUCUGUGCUAGCUUCAUCAUCAUCAUCAUCAUCAUCACCAUCAGCAUCACCAUCAGCAUCAGCAUCAUCACCACCCACAGACAGAAGUACCAGGCAAAUGCACUGAAAAACUCUUAACAAUUAUCCAGGAAGACAAGGUUUUCGUCCCUUCUGCAUGAACCUCAUCAAUGGAGACUGUCAUUAGCAGCCUUUUUUUUUAAAGAGCUAAUUUACACUAAUAUGGAAAUGUAGCCUCAGCCCUGGCUGACCUGAAACUCAUGCCACAGACCAGAUCUCAGCAGAAUGAACCUCGGAGACGACCUAACAUCAUCCUGAAACACAGCUUGAACGAAUCGAGCAGCCAGCUGAGGCUUCGUGGUUGCUGUGUAAAAACGGGUGGUCACCCUGAUCCCUCUGGUACCCCUGACUUGACCUGGGCAAGCAGAAGAAAUGAGCCCAUGAAGACGAUCUUACACCCCCUUUCUCACAGAUGUUAGACACUUUAGGAAGGAGUUUUGAACACGACCAAGGCUUUUCAGUUUUGAUGAGGUGGUGAAAUUAGUUAAAAAGCCACAGGGAACCACAGAACACAGCUAUGCAGUGUGACCGUCACAGCUGACUCUAUAGCCCACCAUAGGGGAGGGAAGCAAGCAUGAUGUUCAGUUACGAGUUCAGUAACUGUAAGGGAUGCACAAAAGCUUUUUAAAAAGUUUCACUAGUAAGGCAAGAGCUUAACUACACUCGUUAGGAGACAGCCAUUAGUACCAACAAACAUGUCCACAUGUGUAUGUUUCUAUAUAAAACAAAGCAAACCAGCUGGGAGGUGGUGGCACAUGCAUUUAAUCCCAGCACUCGGGAGGCGUAGGCAGACGGAUCCCUGUGAGUUCAAGGCCAGCCUGGUCUACAAAAACUAGUUCCAGGACAGACGUCAAAACUACAGAGAAACCUGGUCUCAAAAGAUAAAAUAAUAAUAAUAAUAAUAAAGACAAAGCAAACCUAUCUAUCAGAUACACAUCUGUUAAAGGGUUCCACACGUUAUUAGUAACUCAUUCUUUUUUUUUUUUUGAGACAGAUUUCAAACUCAUUAUGUAGCUGAAACUGGCCCUAAACCCCCAAAUUUGUUCAUUCUGCCCCCACCUCCAAAAUUUGGAGAUUACAGGUGUACAACAUCACAUCUGUCAUUAGCUGACUUUCUAAACAAAUGUUUGAGUCCCCAAGUGUCUAGUUUUCACCAGUAGAUAAGCCAUAAGGAACACUUCCAGACUUUCUACACCCCCGCUCCCAUACUGCCUGGUUCAGGGGUAGCACAGCCCCUGGAGUCUGGACCUGAACAGCGUUUAGGCUCAGGGAAUUAGUGGCGGGAAGCAGGAGAGUACUCACCUUGGUAGUUACAGGCUGCCUGGUCUGGUGUACCUCGACUGCUGCUCCUUCUGCUGUUGCAGUUGCUCCUAGAGCUUAUAUACUCUACUCCUACAGAACUUUCUGAUGGAAACCCAAACUAGAAACUGACUAGUCCCAGUUGCAACAUUGAAAACUAGUGUCAAAACAUUUUGGGGAAUUUUAGGAAGCUCCUCCCCCUCCCCCACCCUCCCUGUGUCUCGGUGUGCAUCCAUCACACGGAGGGAAUACAGACAUCAGAAUCCCAGGUAAGAGGAAAUGACUUCGGGGUGUGGAAAAAGGAAGAAGACAGAUGCUGAUUUCUGUUUACAUCAUGCCCAAGGUGAAUAGAGGCAGCAAUAGCCAACCUCCCCAGGAUUCCACAGGCUGGGGAAAAAGGAAGGUCAUGUCCCCAGCUGAGUUCAUGGUUCAUGCCACAAUCUAACGAGGUGCUACGGGUCCUAAAGAAUAAUCUACAAUUCUGGAGUCAAGGCAGCCCCAGGGAGAUGGGCAACUAAGAUUCAUUGUGUUUUGAGGCAUCUUCUCUGCUCAUAGGACCUUACUCAUGGAACAAUGAGAACAGGAGCUGAACUAGCACAGAUAUUCUACAAGGCCACAAGGUUCCAGGAUGAUGUCAACCAACAUCCACCGACCUGCUUCCUCUGAAGAGAUCUGGACCACAUGCAGAUCCAGACCCAAUGGUACCCAGUGUUCUUCCUGUGGGAGAAGGAGGUCUGGCGACACAGAGCAAGCAUGCCAAGCUGUUAGGCCAAUAGCACAGAGGUUAAGCCGUGGCAUGGAACCCCUCCCCCUGCCUUGCAGCUGAGAAUCACUGGAAGAAUAUUUGGACCAAAAAAAUCAUCUUCCCUUACCAGAAGAUGGCUAUAUGCUUCUAGUAUGCAUUUCAAAUACAGUAUAAGUCAUGUAUGCUGUAAAACAUUAGCGUUUAGACAAUGCAGAGCAAGACGUGCAUCCACGCUGUUCUCAAAAAUCCAAAACACACCUUGAAUAAGAAGCUGAAACUUUUGAUUUAGAGAUUUCUAGCAGUAGACAUUGUCAAGCUUUUGGUGUGUUCCUCUAGAGUCAGCCCAACCCCUUGUAUAUAUUUAUGUAUUUGGCUGUCUAAGCCGGAUCUUGUUACAGGCAUGAUCCUAAAAAUUCCCUUCAUGUAUUGGGUGAGAGCUGGACAGGCUUGAGUUAGAUCAUGAUCCAAGUUUCAAAUGUAGUGCCAAGAGUUUUCUUGAAUGCAGACCUUCCUCAUGUUAGUCAAGAACUUUACUACAGUUAUAUCCACAGCCCUGCAGCAGUCUAUAGUGAAGCCAUGGCUAAUAGUCUCUUAAUAGUUGACUAGAUAGAUCCCACAUCUGGAUCAGCUAGAGACUUGGGCCUUAGUCUUUCAACUAGAUUCCCUCUACACAUAGCUUUGUGGUUCUAGGUAACAGGCUAUCCAGGAUGGAGUUCAGGGAGUGGUGUGUGUGUGUUAUAUAUAAUAUAUGUGUGUGUGUAUAUGUGUAAUGUGUGUGUGUGUAUAGAUAGACAGAUGACAGAUAGAAUAUCAGAGACCUGUGCAUCUCUCUUAAGAGCAAAGCUGUCUUAGAAGCCCCAAUAACCUUUCUUCCAGUCCCCUGGCCAACUAUAACCCAGGCUUAUGAGGAGAAUGUGUUUUUAGUGACUGAGAAUUGGGUUCUCUCUUAAGCUGGCCAUAGAGUCCUGAUCCCAGAAGCAUGGGUAUGCCAACUAGGUGGCAAUAGGUGAGCAAUGGGGUGUUAGCUAGGUAAACCUGAUGGUUGGUGCUGACAUCAAAUGAAGAAAUAGGGUGACUGAACAGAGAGAAAUGAGGCUUCCUCCUCAGUCCAUUCACUUACAGGAGAUGUGUCUGUCCUAAGGCUAUGGUUACUCCCGCCUGCCUUCUUACAGAUAUAGAUGCUCUCACAGGGAAAAUAUCAAGAGUAUAUGUGUUAACAUGUGACUGGAUGACUGAAUGAUUCUUGUGAUUUUUUUUAUGGCUUCCUAUUC